rnacentral:rRNA from 2 species
GGGCCCGCACAAGCAGUGGAGUAUGUGGUUUAAUUCGACGCAACGCGAAGAACCUUACCAGGUCUUGACAUCCCGUGCAUAGCAUAGAGAUAUGUGAAGUCCUUCGGGACACGGAGACAGGUGGUGCAUGGUUGUCGUCAGCUCGUGUCGUGAGAUGUUGGGUUAAGUCCCGCAACGAGCGCAACCCUUAUCGUCAGUUACUACGCAAGAGGACUCUGGCGAGACUGCCGUUGACAAAACGGAGGAAGGUGGGGAUGAUGUCAAAUCAGCAUGCCCUUUAUGACCUGGGCUACACACGUACUACAAUGGCCGUCAACAGAGAGAUGCGAAGCCGCGAGGUGGAGCGAAACUCAGAAAAACGGUCUCAGUUCGGAUUGGAGGCUGCAACCCGCCUCCAUGAAGCCGGAAUUGCUAGUAAUCGCGGAUCAGCAUGCCGCGGUGAAUACG